rnacentral:lncRNA from 1 species
CUCCUGUCAGAGAAAGAGAAACAUUUCAGCGUCUGAAACAACCAAGAAAUGGAUUUAAACACCCAAGAAAGAACUUGAAGAAGACAUUAAAUUAGACAAAAUGAAUUCAAAGAGACAACAUAAUCCUUUUAGUUGGGGUGAGUCCAAAAGCGUCCGUGUAUCUUGUCUUCAGUGUGUGCAUGUCUAACCGUCAUUCUUGCCUCCUUUGAAAACAGCUUCAUUUUCAGCGUCUCAUUUGACUUUAAUCCCCGACUCUUUGCUCGGGGCUAAAUGAAAAGGUAGAGGUAAGGAUGAGGUUACCAAACACAUUUUUUGGCACAGCACAGUGAGAUAGCUGCUCUUUGCUCGGGGAGGGAUGAGCUUGGAGAGCACACAUGCAGGUAAAGGUUUCUUCUCCUCUGUCUUGGCAGAUUCUCCUCCUACUUUCUUGCCUUCUCCUCGGUGACUUUUCGUUGAACUCCAUCCGCUCGCUCCCUUCUACAAACUUCAGAUUCUGACUUUCAGGGGAAGAAGAAGAAGAAGAAAAUACGGAUUUCAAACUCUCGGUGGUCUUUUCUUAUUCAUUCCUCUUCCCCUGAGUCUCUCAGGCCAAGCUCACUCUUCAUCGGUGGACGGUGUCUUGUCUUUUGUCUCUUUUUAAUCUGUGAUCCUCUCCUCCACUCUCCUGCCCUCUCCUCUUUACCCGUUUCACCUCUUAUCUCCUUCUACUCCUCACAACCUCCAUUCCUCAAUCAACUCAUUUCCUCUCAUUUUCACUCACUUCCAGCGCUCAUCGCUCUCCCUCUUGCUUCAAAAAUGUGCCUGAAAAUGAGAUGAUGUAAGAAAUCGCUCCGCUUUUGCAAGAGCAGGCUCGAACCCAAACAGUGGGUUCCUGAGUUUUAUAAUAAAGUCUUGGUGUCCUUUUCUUAAAGCUUUUGGGAGCACCAAAAAAAAAAAAAGAACGAUAGCUGUGCUUUAAGUCAGACAGAUGUCAAAUACCUUUGAGCAAACUGUGCGAUGUAUUCAAGAACUGCAGAUCUGAUCACCUGAGAUAUACGUCUCUGGGUUAAUCUCUCUUUUCUUGAGCUUCGCUUGCAGAAGAGACAAUCGACGGGGGGAGAGGAAUUCUUUAAAAUUCUCCUCCUUGUCGAGAAUUUCUCUGACGUGUGUUGGCAGAUCUGCUCCCUCGGUGCUCCUGAGUUAUCCCUUGAUGCUUUUUUUACAGUUUGAAGACUUGACAGAAAUGCAGCUUAUUAGCAGUAUCUCCAUACCAGUUUGCUUCUGUUGUUGUUGAUGGACAAUCUGAGCAUUUUUCACUGUUUAUCUCUCAAUCCCUCCGAGAUUCGAGUCGUGAAAAUGUAGCCAAGAUUAGAAAAAAAAAAAGCAUUUAGUGGGAGUGGGAAACAAAUGAUGAAAUAGUGUUUGAUUGUUCUCUGGGCACAAGGCUCUUGCCUACUGUCGUUGUACAGCCAAGGCUGAGAUGGUUUCACUGUAAAAUUAGGCGUCUCUAAUGCCGGCUAAGCUCUUAAGCUGCUCAUUUUUGACGCUAUUGUUGCCCUGGUUUUCGCUCUCCCUCCGUUUCCCUUUGUUUCUCCGUCUCUUGCUUCUCCUCUCACCUUUUCCUUUGUACCCCCUUCCACAUUUCUCCCUCUCUCUCUCUACUCUGUCCUCGCCUUCCUGCCUGCUAUCUCUAUCUCGGCUGCCCUCUGAGAGUUGUAUUGUUGCGGUCGGUGGCUGAGAGUUCGAGGAGAAGAGCACGGUCAGACAGGGGCAGUCAUCCACACAGUGCACAAAAUAAAGCUUCCUUUUUUUACAAAAUGUCCCGAGACUACAGCUCUUCUCAUGCAGGACAUCUUUGUGAGGAUCUAUAUUUGACUUCUUUUUUUUAACCAAACAAAAACCGUCCGAUUUAUGUGGGUCAUCUUUCAGUCCAGCUGAGUCGUGCCCUGGUGAGAACGUGUCAUCGCAGUGAGGAGCAGCUGUCCUGCAGCCACUUGCAAUGUCAGGGACGACGUGAUCACACACAGAUCAGAUCAAUCUUUUAGGAGUCAGGACUGGAGUCUUACGCACUCUUUUAGAAAUCUACUCUGCUUGACCACCAGGGCACGAUAUAUUCAAAUCAAAUCAAAUCAAACUUUAUUUAUAGAACACUUUUCAUGCAUGGACAUUUAACACAAACACACGCAUACACGUUUACCUGACCAACAGUGGACUAUGAGCCUAGACUGACCAAGCGUGGACCCCUAUUUCUGGUCAUUUUAAUAAAACAUCUUUUUUUCUUUUCAUCCAUGGCAGAGUGAGAAGUCGUUGCGUAUCUAAGUGGGAACUUUUGUCACUAUUUACCAACCAACAGGGAACCUUUGUC